rnacentral:tRNA from 1 species
GUCUCGGAUAGCUUAACUGGUAGAGCCUUUAGCGCGUAGCCAAACGAUCCGGGCUUGAGUCCCGGUCUGGGCA